CAAUAGCGUAUAUUAAAGUUGUUGCGGUUAAAAAGCUCGUAGUUGGAGUUCUGCCAGGUGCCGCCUGUCCGCCCCAGUGGUGAGUACGUGGCGCGCAUUUGGCCCUUUCAAGGGGAGCGUAUCUGCACUUUAUUGUGUGGUGCGGGAUCCUUGACUUUUACUUUGAGGAAAUAGGAGUGUUCCAAGCAGGCUCUCGUCGCGCACAGCUCAGCAUGGAAUAAUAGCAUUGGACCUCGAUUCUAAGCUGUUGGUUGCCAGAAGCGAGGUAAUGAUGAAGAGGGAUAGUUGGGGGCAUUCGUAUUUAACUGUCAGAGGUGAAAUUCUUGGAUUCGUUAAAGACGGACUACUGCGAAAGCAUCUGCCAUGGAUGUUUUCAUUGA
rnacentral:rRNA from 1 species